CAGUAGCCGCGGGAAAACGUAGGAGGCAAGCGUUGUCCGGAAUUAUUGGGCGUAAAGGGCUCGCAGGCGGUUUCUUAAGUCUGAUGUGAAAGCCCCCGGCUCAACCGGGGAGGGUCAUUGGAAACUGGGAAACUUGAGUGCAGAAGAGGAGAGUGGAAUUCCACGUGUAGCGGUGAAAUGCGUAGAGAUGUGGAGGAACACCAGUGGCGAAGGCGACUCUCUGGUCUGUAACUGACGCUGAGGAGCGAAAGCGUGGGGAGCGAACAGGAUUAGAUACCCCUGUAGUCCUUGUCUCUUAUAC
rnacentral:rRNA from 1 species